GGGGGGGGGGGGGGGGGGGGGGGGGGGGGGCGAGGGGGGCGGGCGGAGGAGGGGCUUGGCCCUCUGGCGGUGGCGGCGGACGGGUGAGUGACACGUGGGUAACCUACCUAUACGACUGGGAUCACUUCGGGAACCCGGAGCUACUACCGGAUAAUAUAUUGAACCGCAUGGUGCAAUCGUGAAAGACGGUUUUGCUGUCACUUAUAGAUGGCUCCGCGCCGCAUUAGCUAGUUGGUAAGGUACCGGCUUACCAAGGCAACGAUGCGUAGCCGACCUGAGGGGGUGAUCGGCCACACUGGAACUGAGACACGGUCCAGACUCCUACGGGAGGCAGCAGUAGGGAAUCUUCCGCAAUGGGCGAAAGCCUGACGGAGCAACGCCGCGUGAGUGAUGAAGGUCUUCGGAUCGUAAAACUCUGUUAUUAGGGAAGAACAAAUGUGUAAGUAACUAUGCACGUCUUGACGGUACCUAAUCAGAAAGCCACGGCUAACUACGUG
rnacentral:rRNA from 1 species